rnacentral:rRNA from 1 species
AACCAGCACCUCAAGUGGUCAGGAUGAUUAUUGGGCCUAAAGCAUCCGUAGCCUGCUCUGUAAGUUUUCGGUUAAAUCCACGUGCUCAACAUGCAGGCUGCCGGGAAUACUGCAGAACUAGGGAGUGGGAGAGGUAGACGGUACUCGGUAGGAAGGGGUAAAAUCCUUUGAUCUAUUGAUGACCACCUGUGGCGAAGGCGGUCUACCAGAACACGUCCGACGGUGAGGGAUGAAAGCUGGGGGAGCAAACCGG